UCACAGCUUGGUUGGUAGAGCACGAGACUCAUAAUCUCAGGGUUGUGAGUUUGAACCCCAAGCUGGGCAAAA